ACGACUACACCGGUUCUCGUAUGAUCAUCGAAGUUAAGCAACGCUGAGCCGGGUCAGUAUUUAGAUGGAUGAUCACUUGGGAAUACCAGGUGCUGUAAG